rnacentral:rRNA from 1 species
UACGGAGGGUGCAAGCGUUGUCCGGAUUUAUUGGGUUUAAAGGGUGCGUAGGCGGUUCGUUAAGUCCGGGGUGAAAGCCCACUGCUCAACAGUGGAACUGCCCUGGAAACUGGCGGACUUGAGUACAGACGAGGGCGGCGGAAUGGAUGGUGUAGCGGUGAAAUGCAUAGAUACCAUCCAGAACCCCGAUUGCGAAGGCAGCUGCCUAGACUGUAACUGACGCUGAGGCACGAAAGCGUGGGGGAGCGAACAGG